AGAUUCUUGCACAACACAGUUUGACCUCCAAAACUGUGUCUCAGAUUUUUCCUAUUGUAUUUCAUUCUCUCAUAAAUCUACAAUGAAAUUUGCAACAAUAAUUCAAUUGGGUGUAAAAUUUGUUCUAUUGAUGUUUUUGGAAAUCUGAGACACAGUUUUGGAGGUCAAGUUGUGUUGUACCAGAAUCU
rnacentral:sRNA from 1 species